rnacentral:rRNA from 1 species
UACAGAGGUCUCAAGCGUUGUUCGGAUUCAUUGGGCGUAAAGGGCGCGUAGGCGGCGCGGUAAGUCACUUGUGAAAUCUCUGAGCUUAACUCAGAACGGCCAAGUGAUACUGCAGUGCUAGAGUGCAGAAGGGGCAAUCGGAAUUCUUGGUGUAGCGGUGAAAUGCGUAGAGAUCCGGAGGAACACCAGAGGCGAAAGCGGCAUCCUGGCUCAUAGUUGACGCUCAGACACGAGAGCAUGGGGAGCGAACGGG